UGCAAUGUUUUAUCAUGAUAUAGCAAGGGUGAGCAUGAAAGUUGCCCAGCAAGUUUAAAUACAACAAUAUAACGAUAUAUCAUGAUUGAAGAGUAUGAAUAAUGGGCUUGCUAUAAUUCAUCAAUAUAAUUGAGAACUAGCACGAACAAAUUUUUGACUGAACAAGUAUUACACAUGAACAAACAUUUCUGAACCAACUAGUAAUAAAGGUGAUCAGCCUUUCAUACCUGACUUAUACAUGCAAGAUGUACAGAGUACAAAUUUCGUGGCAAUCAGCGAUGAUUAACCAUAAGCUUGAAGAAAUUACUCUUAUUAGAG
rnacentral:lncRNA from 1 species